GACGUAGGGCGCGAGCGUUGUCCGGAUUUAUUGGGCGUAAAGAGCUCGUAGGCGGCUUGUCGCGUCUGCUGUGAAAACCCGAGGCUCAACCUCGGGCCUGCAGUGGGUACGGGCAGACUAGAGUGCGGUAGGGGAGAUUGGAAUUCCUGGUGUAGCGGUGAAAUGCGCAGAUAUCGGGAGGAACACCGGUGGCGAAGGCGGUUCUCUGGGCCUUACCUGACGCUGAGGAGCGAAAGCGUGGGGAGCGAACAGG
rnacentral:rRNA from 1 species